CUUCUUCCUCCUGGUCCUUUCUUCCCACCAGGGUCCCCGAGAACCUCACAUCCAAGCCGUCAGAGGGAACCCCGCACACCUUUCGGCGAGGACUGAGUGGGACCCUGGAAGACGGCGCGAGCCAGCCAGCCCAGAGCCGCGCAGUGGGACGGUGGCGAUGCGAGGGUCAGACCAACAAGGGAGGGGUUCAUCCAUCAACCCGGACGGGCCUGAGUGCCCGGGACCGCGUGCAGGACGGGAGCCAUCUGGCAGCUUUGCUUGCAAGACCAGAUUAAGAAAGCACCAGCACAGAAACCACAAAGGAGAAGAUGAAGCGGUAUUUCCGGAGGAAAAAGCAAAGAUUUCUACCCAAAGCUGAGAGAUUAUGAAAACCUGGCCUCUGGCCUCUGCAGCCAUUCCUAAGAGCAGUAACUACCACUGCACGAGGGAAGAAUGCACGGAGCCCUCAUAGGCAGCCAACAAAGUGCUGGUGUUGGUGACCAGAACAAGGAGGGUGUCGGAGCGGAGGAGGAAAUGUUUUAUGUCACAGCGUACACGGGGAGGAUGCAAUUUAAUCUGCAAGAUAAAUAAAAUCUUUGGUGCUUCUUAA